GGUGAGUGCAUGGAAUGGGCUGCCAGCGACGGUGGUGAAGGCGAAUACGAUAGAGUCUUUUAAGAGACUCCUGGACAGGUACAUGGAGCUUAGAAAAAUAGAAGGCUAUGGGUAACCCUCAGUAAUUUCUCAGCUGAACCACUGGCUUACCACUGAAUCCACCGACUGCCCUACGGCAAAAACAAUGGUCAAGCUGCCAUAAUCUUCAGACACAGAAAAUACGUUGUUAAGACCCGAGGGCUCCUCAAUACACAGGAUGGACCAGACUACUGAUUCAGAGAAGGCAAAAGAUGCUGCCUGGCCUGCUGAGUUCCCC